rnacentral:lncRNA from 1 species
UCUAGUUGUUACAUCGAGCGCUCUGGACAUAAAAAGGAUUUCAGAGCGAGCCAAUAGACUUUACCUCAUUGUCAGUGUAUUUUUCAUUAAAGUACACACGGAGUAAAUUGUUUAAUAGGGAAACGCAGUAAUUCUGAUAUCGGUCAAAACUACCGUAUGAGAAACUAAUGAAACGUAUGAAAUGUUGAUGAUGCUAGCGAUUUUAUCGUCAAAAAACGUAAUCAGUAAUCAAUGGCGUGGCGUGCAUUGCGAUAUUGUAUAGAUUGAUCUGCCAUUUAAACCUAUGGAAAAGAAUUGAUAAACAGAGUGUUUGCAAUGGACACCUUAGUGAUCCAUUCUUCACCACAGCUUCAAAUGGGGAAAAAUCGAUAACCGAUCAUUCACGCUUCGCUACUGAAUUUAAUUCCAAAAUAUUUGAAAAAUGCAACUAGGGUAAGCUGCGUAAUCCUGCAUUUGACUGGAUGUUAAUGAUCUGUUGUGUUGCCUGUUGCAGCCAUUCAAAUUAGGAGAGCUAUUGCAGCGGUUGCAAGCGGCCAAGCAAGCUUUAGACCGCGAGAGGAUACUCGAGCAAGCGUCGAAAGACGGCAAGGACCUCUUCGAGUACCUAGGUGAAAACUACUACGGAUCGGAUUCCUCCGACACCCCGAUUGCGCCUCCAGGCUACCGGGUUAGACUAAUCUCCACGCCAGAGGCCGCAAGAGAUGACUACUUGUACGGCAAAGACAAGCGAGGCAACUACAUGACUUUGUGCCACUUCAAAAUCUGCAAUAUGGGACGGAAGAGGUGGAAAUCGUGGCCCUGACUAGAGCUGGAGCUGGAGCGUUGAAGCGUCCCGCCGCACAGCUCGCCCCCACCCGCACGCCCCGCCGUCGCCAACACAUCCACCAGACAAACGUAUUUAUCAUCCGACCUCACCCAGAAGCCAUCUCUUCAGAUUCCUCUUAUACUAAAUUAUUGUAUAAUUUUACCGCAGAACAGACGAUGAAAAGUUGAAUAAAGUCAAUACCGUAAACUUCAAGUUUUCCCAGGUGCUUUUAUUUCCUCCGCGCCUCCUCCCGCUCAACGGCCGAGUUGUUUGGCCGUACUGCCGCGCUGAGAAACAACGACUUCCUUGCAAACUUUUCCCGGAACGGAAAGGAAUAAGCUGCCUCUCAUGGAACACGGCACGGAAAAAAAGUGUUAGGGGUUAUCCCCUAAAAUGGACCACUAGACAAGGUACGAAUUUAAGCAUUCUGAUACAUGUUUCUUAACCAGAAUUUCACGUAGAGCACGAUUCGCGCAACGGAAAUUACUGAAACCAACUCCUAACGAAGAUAUUAACGUUUUUAUUACACGUUGGUUACGAGGAAUUUGAACUGCACGCUUACAAGAAACUCAAAGCUCUAUACGUGCGUCAAAUCGCGCACUACAACGGUUUCAACAAGCUUCUCAAUCGAGUAAUGUUCAUAUCCCGCCAUGUGUUGUUCAAACUAUAAGCAAUUUGCUAUAGUUGAGCCAAAGCGUCAAGAUUG